rnacentral:rRNA from 1 species
AUCAACUUUCGAUGGUAGGAUAGAGGCCUACCAUGGUGGUAACGGGUAACGGGGUGUUAGGGCACGACACCGGAGAGGGAGCCUGAGAAACGGCUACCACAUCCAAGGAUGGCAGCAGGCGCGCAAAUUACCCAAUCCCGACACGGGGAGGUAGUGACAAUAAAUAACAAUACGGGGUUCUUUCGGAUCUCGUAAUUGGAAUGAGUACAAUUUAAAUCUCUUAACGAGGAACAAUUGGAGGGCAAGUCUGGUGCCAGCAGCCGCGGUAAUUCCAGCUCCAAUAGCGUAUAUUAAAGUUGUUGCAGUUAAAAAGCUCGUAGUUGAAUUUCGGGAUCAAUAUGUUGGUCGUGCCUUGGUACGUACUGGCAUUAUCGAUUCCUACCUUCUGAAGAACCUCGAUGUCAUUAAUUUGGUGUCUUGGGGAAUCAGGACUGUUACUUUGAAAAAAUUAGAGUGUUUAAAGCAGGCUCGCGCUUGAAUACAUUAGCAUGGAAUAAUGAAAUAGGACGUUUGAUUCUAUUUUGUUGGUUUCUAGGAUCGACGUAAUGAUUAAUAGGGAUAGUUGGGGGCAUUAGUAUUCAAUUGUCAGAGGUGAAAUUCUUGGAUUUAUUGAAGACUAACUACCGCGAAAGCAUUUGCCAAGGAUGUUUUCAUUAAUCAAGAACGAAAGUUAGGGGAUCGAAGACGAUCAGAUACCGUCGUAGUCUUAACCAUAAACUAUGCCGACUAGGGAUCGGAUGAUGUUAAUUUUUUAAUGACUCAUUCGGCGCCUUACGGGAAACCAAAGUGUUUGGGUUC